rnacentral:rRNA from 1 species
GAUGAACGCUGGCGGCGUGCCUAAUACAUGCAAGUCGAGCGAACAGACGAGGAGCUUGCUCCUCUGACGUUAGCGGCGGACGGGUGAGUAACACGUGGAUAACCUACCUAUAAGACUGGGAUAACUUCGGGAAACCGGAGCUAAUACCGGAUAAUAUAUUGAACCGCAUGGUUCAAUAGUGAAAGACGGUUUUGCUGUCACUUAUAGAUGGAUCCGCGCCGCAUUAGCUAGUUGGUAAGGUAACGGCUUACCAAGGCAACGAUGCGUAGCCGACCUGAGAGGGUGAUCGGCCACACUGAAACUGAGACACGGUCAGACUCCUACGGGAGGCAGCAGUAGGGAAUCUUCCGCAAUGGGCGAAAGCUUGACGGAGCAACGCCGCGUGAGUGAUGAAGGUCUUCGGAUCGUAAAACUCUGUUAUUAGGGAAGAACAAAUGUGUAAGUAACUAUGCACGUCUUGACGGUACCUAAUCAGAAAGCCACGGCUAACUACGUG